rnacentral:lncRNA from 13 species
GAGAGUCUCCCCACCUCAAGAUCCUCCACUGAGUCAUAUCUGCAAAGUCUCUUUUGCUAUGCAAGGUCUCACUCUGUCACCCAUGUUGGAGUGCAGUGGCACGAUCUCAGCUCACUGCCACCUCCACAUCCUGGGCUCAAGUGAUCCUCCCACUUCAGCUUCCCCAUGGAGUAACUGGGAUUACAGGUGUGUACCAUUACGCCUGGCUAAAUUUAGGUAUUUUUGGUAGAGAUGAGAUUUCGCCAUAUUGCCCAGGCUGCUCUCAAACUUUUGGGCUCAAGUGAUCGGCUGACCUUAGCCUCCCAAAGUGCUGGGAUUAUAGGCAUGAGCCCCUGUGCCCCAGCUACCGCUUCUUAACUCUCAGAUCUGGAGAAGUCACCUUUCCUGUUGGCCUUCGUAAAACUGGGAUGAACAUCCUUUUCGCGUCUGUCUUACUGACUUACUGAG